rnacentral:rRNA from 1 species
AGUGAACGCUGGCGGUAUGCCUAACACAUGCAAGUCGAACGGCAGCAGAUUAAGAGCUUGCUCUUACGGGCUGCGAGGGGCGGAGGGGUGAAGAAUACAACGGAAUCUACUUUUUCGGGGGGGAAAACGUAGGGAAACUUACGCUAAUACCGCAUACGACCAAUGGGUGAAAGCAGGGGAUCUGCGGACUUGGCGCGAUUGAAUGAGCCGAAGUCGGGUUAGCGAGUUGGCGGGGUAAAGGCCCACCAAGGCGACGGUCCGUAGCUGGUCUGAGAGGAUGAUCACCCACACUGGACCUGAGACACGGCCCAGAUUCUUCGGGGAGGCAGCGGUGGGGAAUAUUCGCCAAUGGCGGCAAUCCUGAUCCAGCCAUACCGCGUGGUUGUAGAAGGCCUUCGGGUUGUAAAGUCCUUUUGUUGGGACGGAAGAGCAGCAGGUUAAUACCCCGCUGUUCUGACGGUACCCGAAGAAUAAGCACCGGCUAACUUCGUG